UACGAAGGGGGCUAGCGUUGCUCGGAAUCACUGGGCGUAAAGCGCACGUAGGCGGAUUGUUAAGUCAGGGGUGAAAUCCUGGAGCUCAACUCCAGAACUGCCUUUGAUACUGAGGAUCUUGAGUCCGGGAGAGGUGAGUGGAACUGCGAGUGUAGAGGUGAAAUUCGUAGAUAUUCGCAGGAACACCAGUGGCGAAGGCGGCUCACUGGCCCGGUACUGACGCUGAGGCACGAAAGCGUGGGGAGCAAACAGGG
rnacentral:rRNA from 1 species